rnacentral:rRNA from 1 species
AAGAUGAUCAGGUUGAUAGGUCCGAGGUGGAAGUGUGGUGACACAUGGAGCUGACGGAUACUAAUCGUUCGAGGACUUAACCAAAU